UCCCUGAUAGCUUGGUAAAGAAUCUGCCUGCAGUGCAGGAGACCCUGGUUCAAUUCCUGGGUUGGGAA
rfam:TPA: Bos taurus chromosome 22, whole genome shotgun sequence.